UAGUGUAGCAAUACAAUAGUGUCACUGGCGCACGGGUGCGUAACGCGUAGGCAAUUUACCCUCAGGAUUGGGAUAACCCCGAGAAAUCGGGGCUAAUACCAAGCGAUGCAGCGGCACCGCAUGGUGACAGUUGUUAAAGCUCGAAAGAGCGCCUGAGGUUGAGCCUGCGUCCUAUCAGGUAGUUGGUGAGGUAACGGCUCACCAAGCCUACGACGGGUAGCUGGCCUGAGAGGGUGGUCAGCCACACUGGAACUGAGACACGGUCCAGACUCCUACGGGAGGCAGCAGUGAGGAAUAUUGCUCAAUGCCCGCAAGGGUGAAGCAGCGACGCCGCGUGAGGGAUGAAGGCCCUAUGG
rnacentral:rRNA from 1 species